rnacentral:tRNA from 1 species
GGUCUUGUGGUCUAGUGGUAUGAUUCUCGCUUAGGGCGCCCAGUUCCUGAGCAACAUUGCGAGAGGCCCCGCGUUCGAAUCGCGGCAAGACCC